rnacentral:sRNA from 1 species
UUUUGGAAUUUUAUUUUGGGACUUAAAGAGAGAUGCCACAUCAUUUAUAUUGUAAUUUUUCUUAUUUCAUUUCAUUGUAAUUUGCAUUUGAAUUCCAUUUCAAUGUAAUUUGGGACAAAUUGGAAAAUAGGCCAAGAUUGGAAGGGCAAAGUUGGAAUAUGGGUUUAUAAGAAGAAAAAAUUAGAUUGGGAAAGGAUCCCCUUCCUUUCACUUGUAGGACGUUGCUGAAAUGUAGAAAGCGGGCAACUUUCUUCUUCUCCCCAUUUUUGGGGACGUUCCAAGGGUCUUGUAGCUGGAUGUUUAGGGCAAUUUUGGAAUUUUAUUUUGGGACUUAAAGAGAGAUGCCACAUCAUUUAUAUUGUAAUUUUUCUUAUUUUAUUUCAUUGUAAUUUGCAUUUGAAUUCCAUUUCAAUGUAAUUUGGGACAAAUUAAAAAAUAGGCCAAAAUUGGAAGGGCAAAGUUGGAAUAUGGGUUUAUAAGAAGCAAAAAUUAGAUUGGGAAAGGAUCCCCAUUCUUUCACUUGCUGGACGUUGCUGAAAUGUAGAAAGGGGGCAACUUUCUUCUUCUUCCCAUUUUUGGGGACGUUCCAAGGGCCUUGUAGCUGGAUGUUUAG